GACGAACGCUGGCGGCGUGCUUAACACAUGCAAGUCGAACGAAAAGAGGGAAAGAGCUUGCUCUUUCCGGAAUUGAGUGGCAAACGGGUGAGUAACACGUAAACAACCUGCCUUCAGGAUGGGGACAACAGACGGAAACGACUGCUAAUACCGAAUAAGUUCCAAGAGCCGCAUGGCCCAUGGAAGAAAAGGUGGCCUCUACCUGUAAGCUAUCGCCUGAAGAGGGGUUUGCGUCUGAUUAGCUGGUUGGAGGGGUAACGGCCCACCAAGGCGACGAUCAGUAGCCGGUCUGGGAGGAUGAACGGCCAAACUGGAACUGAGACACGGUCCAGACUCCUACGGGAGGCAGCAGUGGGGAAUCUUCCGCAAUGGGCGAAAGCCUGACGGAGCAACGCCGCGUGAGUGAUGACGGCCUUCGGGUUGUAAAACUCUGUGAUCCGGGACGAAAAGGCAGAGUGCGAAGAACAAACUGCAUUGACGGUACCGGAAAAGCAAGCCACGGCUAACUACGUG
rnacentral:rRNA from 1 species